rnacentral:tRNA from 1 species
AAUGGUUAAGCAGAUGGGCUGCUAACCCAAAGGCUGGUGGUUCAAAUCCACCAGCCAUUC